GGGGAGACUCCAUGACACUCCUGUCACCAUGGCAACCCCUGAUGCUGUUCCUCUCCCUACUUGCAAACCCUAAGCCUCAAUAUGCUCUUUCUCCCUCAAGUUUCCUCCGGAGUUUGGUGACAGCAACAGACGAGUAGUCAACACAGUCCCGUGUCAAGAGUUUUCCAAGUGGACUAGGCAAGCUGAACAUUGAGUUCCACUGAUGCACCUGUCUUCCAAAACUGAGAGUACCAGCAUAUGACACCAUGCUCAAAUUUGUAUAUUAUAGAUUGGAUGGACCAUGAAUUUGAAAGUGAGUGGGGUAGGGAGUUACAUGGAAGAAGAAAGAAAUGGAAAAGAGGAAAUCAUAAUGUCUAACGUCAAAAACACUGAAGACAGCUUAUGCUGGAGAGAAUGCAGAGCAAGGAUAACACUCCUCUACUUUUGAGCUCUAGAAUCCCUGAAGAAGUGGAGGCACAAUGUGUGGGGAAGACAAAAAUGAUAGAGAAAACUAGGAGAAAAAAGCCCUCUGGAUCAAUGGAUCAAAGCUCGUAUGAACUCAUAGAAACUGAUACACCAACUAUGGAGCCUAAGGAAGUCUGCACCAGAAAGAUGUAUGUUGAACAGAAAGAAAUGCCAUCGUGUAGGAAGUGACCACGCUGAGUGGAAGGAAACUGCUGCUGAUGUCCAUGCAAUGAACAGAAUAUCCGAAUAUCUUCUGUGAAUGCUUUUGCCACACUUUUCUUUUCACGGGCACUGCUUCCAAAGUACGCAAUGACAGUACGUCUUGCUCCAAGGCUACACUUGGUGUGUACCUUCAGAUGUCCUCCGCUAAUAUGGAUGCCAUUAUUUCUAAAUGGAGAGCAAUUGUAUUAGGAGAUAUUUUCCAGUUUGUACUUUCUUUUGAGUUUCAUGGUUGUCAUUUUGUGUUUUUUCCUUUCUAAUCUAAAUAUAAUUCUUCACACAAGAUAUAAAAAUAAGUAA